rnacentral:rRNA from 1 species
UACGAAGGGGGCUAGCGUUGCUCGGAAUCAUUGGGCGUAAAGCGCACGUAGGCGGCUUUUUAAGUCAGGGGUGAAAUCCUGGAGCUCAACUCCAGAACUGCCCUUGAUACUGAGAAGCUUGAGUCCGGGAGAGGUGAGUGGAACUGCGAGUGUAGAGGUGAAAUUCGUAGAUAUUCGCAAGAACACCAGUGGCGAAGGCGGCUCACUGGCCCGGUACUGACGCUGAGGUGCGAAAGCGUGGGGAGCAAACAGG